rnacentral:rRNA from 1 species
UACGUAGGGGGCGAGCGUUUGUCCGAAGUUACUGGGCGUAAAGCGCGCGUAGGCGGCCACUUAAGUCUGGGGUGAAAGGUUCAGCGCUCAACGCGAACAGUGCCUUGGAUACUGGGUGGCUUGAGUCUGGGAGAGGGUAGUGGAAUUCCUGGUGUAGCGGUGAAAUGCGUAGAUAUCAGGAGGAACACCAGUGGCGAAGGCGGUGGUCUGGGCCGGAACUGACGCUGAGGAAGCGAAAGCGUGGGUAGCAAACAGG